rnacentral:rRNA from 1 species
GAGUUUGAUCGUGGCUCAGAUUGAACGCUGGCGGCAUGCCUUACACAUGCAAGUCGAACGGUAACAGGUCUUCGGAUGCUGACGAGUGGCGAACGGGUGAGUAAUACAUCGGAACGUGCCCGAUCGUGGGGGAUAACGAAGCGAAAGCUUUGCUAAUACCGCAUACGAUCUACGGAUGAAAGCAGGGGACCGCAAGGCCUUGCGCGAACGGAGCGGCCGAUGGCAGAUUAGGUAGUUGGUGGGAUAAAAGCUUACCAAGCCGACGAUCUGUAGCUGGUCUGAGAGGACGACCAGCCACACUGGGACUGAGGCACGGCCCAGACUCCUACGGGAGGCAGCAGUGGGAAUUUUGGACAAUGGGCGAAAGCCUGAUCCAGCCAUGCCGCGUGCAGGAUGAAGGCCUUCGGUU